GAGUGAAGAGGGACAAGCUCAAAUUUUAAAUCUAUCGGGUUUUACCCGAUCGAGUUGUAAUUUGAAGAAGCGUUUUCUGCGUUUUUGGUCAGCCCAAGUCCUAUUGAAUGAGGCAUCAUGGAGGGUGAUAAUCCCGUCCGGUUGAUCAUUUGCGUUUUACGAUACGCAUUCUAAGAGUCAAGUUGUUUGGGAUUGCAGCUUAAAAUGGGAGGUAAAUUUCUCUUAAGGCUAAAUAACGGCGAGAGACCGAUAGCGAACAAGUACCGUGAGGGAAAGAUGAAAAGAACUUUGAAAAGAGAGUUAAAUAGUACGUGAAAUUGUUGAAAGGGAAACGAUUGAAGCCAGUCGUACCUGCGGGUAAUCAGCCUUUUGGGCAUGAUUCUGUGGAGCGUGAGGAGUUAAACGCCUUCAUGCCUGCAUAUUCGUGUACUUGGGGUGUACUUGCCUGUGUGGUUAGUUAACAUCAAUUUUGGUUAUCAUAAAAUGGUUGGAGGAAUGUAGCUUCGAUUUUGAUUGAAGUGUUAUAGCCUUCGGCAGAUGUGAUGAUCGGGAUUGAGGAUUGCAACGGAUACCCUUCGGGGCUACCUGUCCGGUCUCUGAUCGUUGCUCUGGUGCCGAAAGCUUGCUUACGGUUAUCAAAGUCGAUGGUCAAUAGGUUAGAUCGGGUUAAAUUCGUUA
rnacentral:rRNA from 1 species